rnacentral:lncRNA from 1 species
CUCAUUUUCAUGCUUGUAUUUAAUGGAAGAUGAAUUUAUUAGUUUAGCGAUGCAAAUUUAAAGAAGACCCUAAAUUCUCAGCCUCGCUUACCUAAAAAUUGUCUGAUUCUUAAAGCCAGAAAACACAUGCAUUUGUGAUGGUUUCCAGUUCUUCAGAACUAACACUAGAAAUGUUGAUGAUGCAGGAGUAGUUCUCAUCGAAUAUGUAAGCUUAUGAUGGCUUAAUUGACAACAGAGUUACACAGAAUGGUUCCUCCAGCUUUGAGAACUGUGUAAAAGGCUGUGAGUGCCUGCGUUAAGGCUGUUUGUUUUGCAGAACCACCUGUUUGCUCGGGGUUCUGUAGUGAACCUCUGCAAGACUAGCUGGGAGCUGGGGGAUGCUCCUAGCCGUGGCCGUGGGCACUCGUGGGCAGUCCCAGCACAGAGCCUGGCAGCUGCACGGACCAGGAGCCUACAGCUGGACCUGGACCUGCUUCUUCUGUUACAUGGCUGAACCAAAUCUGUGUGGCAGUGAGAGGAGAACUGCAUUACCCGUCUGUCUGUGUGUGGUCUCUAUAUAUCAAAGGCAAAACAAUUGGAAUGGUUGUUGAGGUGUUGCUUUUUAAAGGAACCACUGGUAAGACUUCUGUUUUCCUCCUAGAGUAGCGGCAGUGCAUCUGUAUGUAAGCAGCGAUCUCACCAGAAGCAGGUAGUUGCUGGCACCAUUGCUUGUAUCCGAAAGCACAAUUGUAGCCUGUCACACUGCCAGGACUGUACAGACUCCUGUGGGUUCUGGCUCUUCUGUAUGUCGUGUUUGUG